AAGGGGAAGUUGGUGAUCCUAUGCUGCCAAGAAAAUCUUCUAGCGAGGUUCUAGCCGCCCGUACCCCAAACCGACUCAGGUGGUUAGGUAGAGAAUACCAAGGCGAUCGAGUGAAUCGUGGUUAAGGAAUUCGGCAAAAUACCCCCGUAACUUCGGGAGAAGGGGGGCCCAGAGGGUGACGGGACUUGCUCCCCGAGCCUGAAGGCCGCAGAGACCAGGGAGAAGCGACUGUUUACUAAAAACACAGGUCCGUGCCAAGUCGCAAGACGAUGUAUACGGACUGACGCCUGCCCGGUGCUGGAACGUUAAGGGGACCGGUUAGCCUCACGGCGAAGCUGAGAACUUAAGCGCCAGUAAACGGCGGUGGUAACUAUAACCAUCCUAAGGUAGCGAAAUUCCUUGUCUGGUAAGUUCCGACCUGCACGAAUGGCGUAACGACUUCUCCACUGUCUCAACCACGAACUCGGCGAAAUUGCACUACGAGUAAAGAUGCUCGUUACGCGCAGAAGGACGGAAAGACCCCGGGACCUUUACUACAGCUUGGUAUUGGUGUUCGGUACGGCUUGUGUAGGAUAGGUGGGAGACUGUGAAGCUGACACGCCAGUGUCGGUGGAGUCAACGUUGAAAUACCACUCUGGUCGUUCUGGAUAUCUAACCUAGGUCCGUAAUCCGGAUCAGGGACAGUGCCUGGUGGGUAGUUUAACUGGGGCGGUUGCCUCCUAAAAGGUAACGGAGGCGCCCAAAGGUUCCCUCAGCCUGGUUGGCAAUCAGGUUUCGAGUGUAAGUGCACAAGGGAGCUUGACUGUGAGACUGGCAAGUCGAACAGGGACGAAAGUCGGGACUUGAUCCGGCGGUCGCUUGUGGAAGCGCCGUCGCUCAACGGAUAAAAGGUACCCCGGGGAUAACAGGCUGAUCUUGCCCAAGAGUCCAUAUCGACGGCAUGGUUUGGCACCUCGAUGUCGGCUCGUCGCAUCCUGGGGCUGGAGUAGGUCCCAAGGGUUGGGCUGUUCGCCCAUUAAAGCGGUACGCGAGCUGGGUUUAGAACGUCGUGAGACAGUUCGGUCCCUAUCCUCUGCGCGCGCAGGAAACUUGAGAAGGGCUGUCCCUAGUACGAGAGGACCGGGAUGGACGAACCUCUGGUGUGUCAGUUGUUCUGCCAAGAGCACCGCUGAUUAGCUACGUUCGGGAGUGAUAACCGCUGAAAGCAUCUAAGCGGGAAGCAUGCUUCAAGAUGAGGUUUCCAUGGGGUUUACCCCGAGAGGCUCCCAGCUAGACUACUGGGUUGAUAGGCCGGAUGUGGAAGUGCGGUAACGCAUGGAGCUGACCGGUACUAAUAAGCCGAUAACUUGAUU
rnacentral:rRNA from 1 species